rnacentral:rRNA from 1 species
AUUGAACGCUGGCGGCAGACCUAACACAUGCAAGUCGAACGAGUGGAGGAAGGGUGAGUAAUGUCUGGGAAACUGCCUGAUGGAGGGGGAUACCUACUGGAAAAGGUAGCUAAUACCGCAUACCAUCGGAUGUGCCCAGAUAGGAUUAGCUAGUAGGUGGGGUAAAGGCUCACCUAGGCGACGAUCCCUAGAUGGACUGAGAGGAUCACCGGCCACACUGGAACUGUGACACGGUCCAGACUCCUACGGGAGGCAGCAGUGGGGAAUAGUGCACAAUGGGCGCAAGCCUGAUGCAGCCAUGCCGCGGGUAUGAAGAAGGACUUCGGGUUGUAAAGUACUUUCAGCGGUGAGGCGUUACCCGCAGAAGAAGCACCGGCUAACUCCGUGCCAGCAGCCGCGGUAAUAU